rnacentral:rRNA from 1 species
AGGACGAACGCCGGCGGCGUGCUUAACACAUGCAAGUCGAACGGUGAACCACUUCGGUGGGGAUCAGUGGCGAACGGGUGAGUAACACGUGAGCAACCUGCCCCUGGCUCUGGGAUAACUCCGGGAAACCGGGGCUAAUCCGGAUAUGACACCCUUCUGCAUGGUGGGGUGUGGAAAGAUUCAUCGGCUGGGGAUGGGCUCGCGGCCUAUCAGCUUGUUGGUGGGGUAAUGGCCUACCAAGGCGACGACGGGUAGCCGGCCUGAGAGGGCGACCGGCCACACUGGGACUGAGACACGGCCCAGACUCCUACGGGAGGCAGCAGUGGGGAAUAUUGCGCAAUGGGCGAAAGCCUGACGCAGCGACGCCGCGUGAGGGAUGACGGCCUUCGGGUUGUAAACCUCUUUCAGUAGGGACGAAGCGCAAGUGACGGUACCUACAGAAGAAGCACCGGCCAACUACGUGCCAGCAGCCGCGGUAAUACGUGGGGUGCAAGCGUUGUUCGGAAUUAUUGGGCGUAAAGAGCGUGUAGGCGGUUUGUUAAGUCUGAUGUGAAAGCCCUGGGCUCAACCCAGGAAGUGCAUUGGAAACUGGCAGACUUGAAUACGGGAGAGGGCAGUGGAAUUCCUAGUGUAGGAGUGAAAUCCGUAGAUAUCAGGAGGAACACCGGUGGCGAAGGCGGGUCUCUGGGCCGUAACUGACGCUGAGGAGCGAAAGCGUGGGGAGCGAACAGGAUUAGAUACCCUGGUAGUCCACGCUGUAAACGUUGGGCGCUAGGU